AACGAACGCUGGCGGCAUGCCUAACACAUGCAAGUCGAACGAGACCUUCGGGUCUAGUGGCGCAUGGGUGCGUAACGCGUGGGAACCUGCCCUUAGGUUCGGAAUAACUCCCCGAAAGGGGUGCUAAUACCGGAUAAUGUCUUCGGACCAAAGAUUUAUCGCCUUUGGAUGGGCCCGCGUUGGAUUAGCUAGUUGGUAGGGUAAAAGCCUACCAAGGCGACGAUCCAUAGCUGGUCUGAGAGGAUGAUCAGCCACACUGGGACUGAGACACGGCCCAGACUGCUACGGGAGGGAGCAGUGGGGAAUAUUGGACGAUGGGCGAAAGCCUGAUCCAGCAAUGCCGCGUGAGUGAUGAAGGCCUUAGGGUUGUAAAGCUCUUUUACCCGGGAUGAUAAUGACAGUACCGGGAGAAUAAGCACCGGCUAACUCCGUG
rnacentral:rRNA from 1 species